AUAACACACAAAUUGCAGUAUCAUCAUAGUCUUUAAGGACAGCCAUAGUAUCAUCUGCUACAAUGAUAAUGUUUGAGAUAUGAUGUAUGAUAAGGGUCAGGAUGCGGUGUAUGAUAAAGUUUAGGAUGCGGUGUAUGAUAAUGUUUGAGAUAUGAUGUAUGAUAAGGUUUGGGAUACGGUGUAUAAUAAGGUUUGAGAUACGAUGUAUGAUAAGGUUCAGGAUACGGUGUAUGAUAAGGUUUGAGAUAUGAUUUAUGAUAAGGUUUAGGAUGUGGUGUAUGAUAAGGUUUGGGAUACGAUGUAUGAUAAGGUUUGGGAUAUGAUUUAUGAUAAGGUUUAGGAUGUGGUGUAUGAUAAGGUUUGGGAUACGAUGUAUGAUAAGGUUUGGGAUAUGAUUUAUGAUAAG